rnacentral:lncRNA from 1 species
CCGCGGAGCCAGCGUGCGGGAGUGUGUCUUUGUUUUGCCCACUUGAAGAAUAUCUUGGGUUUCUUUAGGGACCUCGAGGCAACAGGUGGCUGAAAAACAAAAGCCCCCGAGAGUCCGCAGGGUGGAGGGAAGGUAUUUGCGGUAACACAGCACACUGCUUGUGCUGUUGAGCAGCUGCAGCUGACGAGCUGGACAGAGCAGCGAUGAAACACACCCCGUACCCCGCUUGCCAGUGAGGUCCAGGAUGGAGCAGCAGGAAGACAGGGUGCACGGAGACAUCAAGUUUUCUGAAUUUCGUGACCGGGUCUUUAUUUCUGCAGCCUCCACAUCUCUCCCCACAUUGUCAGCCUCUCAUUCAUCCUGGAAGAAAGAGCACAGUCUCACAAGUCUCU